rnacentral:lncRNA from 1 species
CUUUCUUUUCUUGUAGAGAUGGGAUUUCUCCAUGUUGGUCAGGCUGGUCUCAAAGUCCCAACCUCAGGUGAUCCGCCCGCAUUGGCCUCCCAAAGUGCUGGGAUUACAUGCGUGAGCUACCGCGCCCAGCCUUUUUUUUUUCCUGUUUUAGAGACAAGGUCUCAUUAUGUUGCCCAGGCUGGAGUGCAGUGGUGCAAACAUAGCUCACUGCAGUCUUGAACUCCUGGGAUCCAGUGAUCCUCCUGCCUCAAGUAGCUGGAAACAGGCAUGCCACAAUCAUGCCCAGCACCAUCUUAUGAGAUCUAAUCUUGGCCACUCACACAGAGGAUUGAGCUCUGAUGACGUGUCUACCCUAACUUUAUUUGCUUAGAAGGCUGAGCCCCAUAUGGCUCAGCUAACCUUUAAUUCUGAUCCCACAUGUGUCUUACAUAUUGGAGACAUUAGCAUCUUCCAUAUUGGAGACAUUACACUCAGGAAGGAAGGCCUGAGUAGGGUAGGUAUCCCCCAGACACCUCACUGUGCUGGGGAGUAUUUGAGAAGCCCUGCUGUAAACUUUGCUGACGGCAAAACUGUUGUGGCUUCUGCUCACAAUGUGGUUAUCAUUGUCCAUCCCCUCAG